rnacentral:ncRNA from 1 species
AACAUCCGUUUCGGGGGCCCUGGUACAGGCAGGCCAGGUGACCCCUCUUUUAUUCGCUCACGCACACGUUUCGGGGACCUUGGUACAGGCAGGCCGGGAAUCCCCUCUUUUAUUCGCGCAGGUCCACCUGCACCCGCCAGCGUCCAGACACUUCUUCACUGGACCAGUGGCCCUGCAGCGUACGCGCAGCCACCACCGUCAACAGCAGGCCC